GAGUUUGAUCUUGGCUCAGGACGAACGCUGGCGGCGUGCCUAAUACAUGCAAGUCGUACGAACAGCGGAAAGUGCUUGCACUUUCCAAGUAAGUGGCGAACGGGUGAGUAACACGUGAAUAACCUACCUCAAAGUCUGGGAUAACCAUUGGAAACAGUGACUAAUACCGGAUAAAACCUAGUAGCACAUGCUACAAGGUUAAAAGCUGCGUUUGCAGCGCUUUAAGAUGGAUUCGCGGUGCAUUAGUUAGUGGUGAGG
rnacentral:rRNA from 1 species